GGAGGGGUGGCAGAGCGGUUGAAUGCACCGGUCUUGAAAACCGGCGAGGAUGAAAGUCCUUCGAGAGUUCGAAUCUCUCCCCCUCCGCCA
rnacentral:tRNA from 2 species